UGAUGUGAGGGCGAUCUGGCUGUGACAUCUGUCACCCCAUUGAUCGCCAGGGUUGAUUCGGCUGAUCUGGCUGGCUAAGCGGGUGUCCCCUUCCUCCCUCACCGCUCCAUGUGCGUCCCUCUUGAAGCUGCGCACUUGGACCAAGAGGACGGCUUUCCCCAAAUAGAGACGGACUGGUCUUCUGUCGAAGGUAUGGGAGUAGCUGUGCUCCCCUGCUAGAACCUCCAAACAAGCUCUCAAGAAAUGUUUUCAGUCUUUCCUUUUUCAUUCUGUGACCUUCAUUUCAAUGUACAACACCAUAUUUUUGAU
rnacentral:snRNA from 1 species